rnacentral:rRNA from 1 species
AUGGGGGCAAAAAUUGACCGCUCUGUAAAUGAUGGCGGGGGUCCAAAUUUUUUUAAAAUCAAUGGUCAGGUUUGCCAUCGUAUAGGCUCGCUGCUUCCAAAUGAGGGUGAUUCUCCCAAAUAUGCAGAGUUAUACAUACAUGACAGAGAAAAUGUGGUUAACAAUAGAAUUCAGGCUUUAAACCAUGAAAAUGAAACUGGUGCAGGGUUAGACAAAGAGAUUGUGAAGGGUCUUACGCAGAUGCUUGAUGUGAACAAUUCUUUGGUCAAGAAAUUUCGUAUGGCCAGUGAGAUUCUGAAAAAUAAUAGGCAUGAAGUGAUUUCAAUAAGACUUAUAGCUCCUGGUGAAAAUGAUAGUGCACAGUUUAAUUUACCUGCAACUGAUGAGCUAGCAGCCUUGGUUUAUGGUGAAUUUACGUUGGAGGCACCAUGUAGAGACCUGAUAAUACGUACUAAAGAAGACCGUCUUCGUCGUAUUUCCUCCUUAGAUACUACUUAAAUGCCUUUGCAAUACCCUCUGUUAUUCCCCUAUGGUGAGCGUGGCUUUCAGCUCGGUGUGCGCUACAUUGAUUCCAAUACCGAUGAUCCAAACAAGAGGGUUAAAAUGACCAUGCAAGACUUCUAUUGCUUCUGCUCGCAUUAUAAACCGGAGCAGCAUAACCCAUAUCUAUGUUGUGGCCUGUUAUCCUCACAGGCUGCUGUUGAUUUUCGAGCUUGCAUUGAUGAAUGCCGGCUCAAUUUUAUUCUUAAGUGUAAUGAUGACAUGCGGGCUGAAAAUCUUCAGGGUAUCGUCGAUGCGGUAGGCCAGGGUAUGGUUGGUGGGUCAGAAGUUGGGAAAAAAAUGUUUUGCCAUCAUCUUAUACCGGUGGUCGCCGGUACAUGUAUGAAAAUUUCCAAGAUGCUAUUGCUGUGUCGCGUGUUCAUGGGUCACCAGAUGUCUUCACUACUUUCACAUGUAACCCAAAGUGGGAAGAGAUCCUUGAUUCUGUUGAUCCCGGGCAAACAGCGACAGAUAGGGCUGACAUUGCUGUUAGGGUGUACCACAUGA